GCAUCGCCUUGGCUCAGGGGUAGAGCGUCUGCCUAGUAACCAACGAAAGCAGAAGGUAGAGGAGUUCAAAUCUCCCAGGAGGCA